AUUAUUAUCAUUAUUAUUAUUAUUAUUAUUAUUGCUAUUUUAGGGCUACCCACGGCAUAUGGAGAUUCCUAGCCUGGGGACCUCCAUAUGCCGCAGGUGUGGCCCUAAAAAGAUAAAAGACAAAAAAAACAAAACAAAAAACAAAACAAACUGCUUGGGGGCUGUUUCUUGGUCGGAGGUGGAAGACAGCCUUUCAAGCCACCCUCCCUGCCCCAGGACUCCUCUUCUUGGUCUUCUUUCCCGAUCUCCUCCUCCUCCUCCUGCUCGCCCCAAGUUGCCUUCCCCUCCCCGAGCCGCAGCCUAGCGUGUGUGAGGCUGCAAGUCAUUUCCAGGGAGCCCCGGACUGUCCCACGGGCCCUUCUGCUUCCAGCCCUGCCUGCCUCCCCCUCCGCCCCCCUCCUGCCCCAAGGAGCCAAGGGGACCACCCGAUCCUUCUAAUCCAGCCCCAGGGGAGGUAUGUGGGGACAGGGCCACACUUAGGAAACAACUUUUCUUUGAAGCCUAAAAAAAUUGUUUUGGGGGAGUCACCUUGCAUCGGGAUCUAGCAUUGGCACUGCUGCGGCUCGGGUUCGAGCAGGUUCAGGUUCAGUCCCUGGCCUGGGAACUUCCAUAUGCCGGGCCUGGCCAAAAAACAAUUUAUUAAAAAAAAUAGGGAACAACAUGCCCCAGUAUCAAACUCAAAUAUCAAAGAUUUCUAAUGAAGUCUUUCUUCCUCCCCCAACCCCCAGCAGUCUGUAGCCACGUCCUCUUCCUAGAGGUAAAUGGUUUCAGUUUGGGGGCUUCUUUCCAAAUAAACCUUCUGCACAUGUGUAAGCAUCUCUUUUGCUCUCUCUCAUAUACACACUCACUCACACACCUUUUUUUUUUUUUUUUUUUUUUUUUUUUGCUUUUUAGGGCUGCACACCAGGCAUAUGGAGGUUCCCAGGCUAAGGGUCACAUCGUAGCUGCAGCUGCCGGCCUACACCACAGGCACAGCAACACCAGAUCCGAGCUGUGUCUGCGACCUACACCACAGCUCACAGCAACACCAGCUCCUUAACCCGCCGAGUGAAGGCGGGGAUCGAACCUGCGUCCUCAUGGAUGCUAGUCAGAUUCGUUAACCGCUGAGCCGCAACGGGGACUCCAGCACAGUGAUUUUGAGGUUCGUCUCCGUCGCGCAUCUCAGUGGUUUGUUGCUCUUGGUUGCCGAGCAGACCCGUCACGGUUUGCCUGUCCACUCACCUGCUGGCGGACCUUUGGGCCACUCAAGCGACUGUGAGCCCUUGUGUCCUGAUCUUUGGGUGAACACGUGCCAUUACUUCUCUUGGGCAAAUCCGUAGGUGCCGCGCGGCUGGGUCAGGGAGGGGUGUGUUUACCUUUAUUUCAAAUGGCAGUGCGGUUGUUCGCCUGUGACGCUUAGCAUUUCCCUGCCAGGCCUUGAGAGUGCCGCUUGCACCACGGCCUCACCGCCGCUCUCGGUUGUCAGUCUUUCUCCUUUUCCCGUGGGUGUGUCGUGGCCGCCACUUCUGGUCUUCGUUUCAAUUUCCCUGUGAUUAAAGAUGUUGAGCGUUGGGCCGUUUGUGUUAUUGUUGAGUCGUAGGAUUUCUUUGUACAUUCGCCAUCUAUGUCCUUUGUCCGACAGGUGCGUUGGGAACUUUUUCUCCCAAUGUGGGCGUCGAUUCCCGUUGUUCACAGCCCGUGUAUUCUGUAACGCUGGCAAAGGCGCCACCCUGGGAUCUUUGCAGAGAUGCUGCUGGCUUUCCCAAGUGGCGGGCAGCUAACUGAGGCACCAGCUAAUGUGAGGCUGUGUGAUCUCCGCACCAGCCUGUAUCCCAGCCCGGGUACCUCUCAACGCCGCCUCCUCUCUUUUGCAGGCACCCUGGCCUCCUUGCUCCCUCCUUAGGCCUCCUCUGAUGCUCUUCUUUAAAUGGUUUUAUGAGACGUGAUUACCAUGCAGUUCCCCCGUGUAUAGCACCAUCCAAGGCUUCUUCCUGUACCCCCAGAUUUGGACAACCAUCCCCACAGUCAAUUUUCAAUCAUUUUCCUGUUCUAAAGAAACUGGGAGCAGCCCCCUGCUAGAUGGCCCUGGACACACAGGUUGAGGGAGAACCCAUGUUCUUUGCUUUGUAAAAACUAGAAAGACGCGGCAUACAUUUUCACAAUUUCACGGUUUUGGGUUGCUCACGGUGAUGCUAACAGCAUCGACUGAGCAUUUGAUGUUUUAGGCUCGUAGAUCCUGAAACAGCCCUGGAAGCAGGGACAAUGAUGAGAGUAUUUAAGUGCCUUCGGAACCCAGGUCGGCUGUGCAAUGUGAGGCCACAAGCGUGUGCAGGCAGAUCACCCCUGGCCCGGGACGCGGUUAUUCUUAUUCCAGUGUUUCUUUCCUGCUCAUAGAAACCGAGGCACAGAGAGGGAAAGUAACUCGCUCCAGGUUGCACAGCCAAGGGGGGGCAAAGCUAGGGGCAAAUCCAGGGAGCUUGGCCCAGAGCCAGCCGAACUUCUCAUUUUGACGAAAAUGUCAAAUUUCUAAGAAAAGUGGCAAAAAGAAUGUCGAGAAACCUAUGUCCAAACUCACCGACUUUUAAUCUUUUACCCCAUUUCCUUUUGUUGUUGUUGUUCUAUUUCUCUUUUUUACGGGCCACCUGAGCAAAUAAAGUCUUCUGUGUGGGAGCCUCAGUUUCUUCAUCUGGAAAAUGAGCCAGUUCUAGAGAGUGGCCCAGUUAUACCCAAACUCUACACACACACUCUUGUUCGUUUUGUCCCGAAAGCCGUGGAAAGUGGGAACCACAUUCCCUGUGCUUCUUUGGCCCUGGACACCUUGGCGUGUGUUUUGGAAGAAGGCUCUUCCUUUGCAUAACCCCAGGGCAGUUGCCAAACGCACCUCGCGGGCCGCCGAGCCAGCCGUGUUGUGCAGUCCGCUCUUUGGGUCCUGUUUUUGCCCGUUGUUCUCUUUAACCAGAUCCCCCCGCCCCGCCCCCAUCUGGGACCCAUCGCUGUCCCGUCUCUUUCAUUUCCUUCCGUCUGGAGUGUUCCUCAGCCUUCCUUUGUGGUGAGUGACAUUGGCCUCUUCGAAGGGUCCAGGCCAUCCUGUCACUGUCCCUUUGCUGGGCUCUGAGUGCUGUUUCCACUCAGUGAGAUUUGAGGAUUUGGGCUACACAUCCUGGCGAAUGUUUAGACCCUGCGCUUUGACCAGCUGAGGUUCUCACUUCAAAGGGGCCCUCUGGGGGGCUGUCACCUCCUUCCGGUCCGGCCUGUUCUCUGUGACAGCCCCCGGCACUUCUCUGCAUCUGGGGAGCGUGUGAUGGGAAGGAAAAGUUAAAGGAAAACACAGUCGCUCAACACGAAAAAAGUAACACAAGAUAUUAGAAGGAGAGUUCCCUGGUGGCCUAGCAGCUAAGGACUUGGCAUUGUCACUGUUCUGGCACAGGUUUGAUCCCUGGCCUGGAAACUUCUGCAUUGCUACAAGUGCAGCCAAAAGAAAAAAAAAAAAA
rnacentral:lncRNA from 1 species